rnacentral:rRNA from 1 species
UACGUAGGGGGCUAGCGUUGUCCGGAAUCAUUGGGCGUAAAGAGCGUGUAGGCGGCCCGGUAAGUCCGCUGUAAAAGUCAAAGGCUCAACCUUUGAAUGUCAGUGGAUACUGCCGGGCUAGAGUCCGGAAGAGGCGAGUAGAACUCCUGGUGUAGCGGUGGAAUGCGCAGAUAUCAGGAAGAACACCAACGGCGAAGGCAGCUCGCUGGGACGGUACUGACGCUGAGACGCGAAAGCGUGGGGAGCGAACAGG